rnacentral:tRNA from 1 species
GCCCACGUAGCUCAGGGGUAGAGCACUUCCUUGGUAAGGAAGAGGUCAUCGGUUCGAUACCGAUCGUGGGCU